rnacentral:rRNA from 1 species
CCUACGGGAGGCAGCAGUGGGGGAUAUUGCACAAUGGGGGAAACCCUGAUGCAGCGACGCCGCGUGGACGAAGAAGUAUUUCGGUAUGUAAAGUCCUAUCAGCAGGGAAGAAGAAAUGACGGUACCUGACUAAGAAGCCCCGGCUAACUACGUGCCAGCAGCCGCGGUAAUACGUAGGGGGCAAGCGUUAUCCGGAUUUACUGGGUGUAAAGGGAGCGCAGGCGGCAGCGUAAGUCUGAUGUGAAAGCCCGGGGCCCAACCGGGGGACUGCAUUGGAAACUGCUGAACUUGAGUGCCGGAGGGGUGAGCGGAAUUCCUAGUGUAGCGGUGGAAUGCGUAGAUAUUAGGAGGAACACCAGUGGCGAAGGCGGCUUACUGGACGGCAACUGACGCUGAGGCUCGAAAGCGUGGGGAGCGAACAGGAUUAGAUACCCGAGUAGUC